rnacentral:rRNA from 1 species
UUCGCCCUUAGAGUUUGAUCCUGGCUCAGGACGAACGCUGGCGGCGCGCCUAACACAUGCAAGUCGAACGAGCGAGAGAGAGCUUGCUUUCUCGAGCGAGUGGCGAACGGGUGAGUAACGCGUGAGGAACCUGCCUCAAAGAGGGGGACAACAGUUGGAAACGACUGCUAAUACCGCAUAAGCCCACGACCCGGCAUCGGGUUGAGGGAAAAGGAGCAAUCCGCUUUGAGAUGGCCUCGCGUCCGAUUAGCUAGUUGGUGAGGUAACGGCCCACCAAGGCAACGAUCGGUAGCCGGACUGAGAGGUUGAACGGCCACAUUGGGACUGAGACACGGCCCAGACUCCUACGGGAGGCAGCAGUGGGGAAUAUUGCACAAUGGGGGAAACCCUGAUGCAGCGACGCCGCGUGGAGGAAGAAGGUCUUCGGAUUGUAAACUCCUGUUGUUGAGGAAGAUAAUGACGGUACUCAACAAGGAAGUGACGGCUAACUACGUGCCAGCAGCCGCGGUAAAACGUAGGUCACAAGCGUUGUCCGGAAUUACUGGGUGUAAAGGGAGCGCAGGCGGGAAGACAAGUUGGAAGUGAAAUCCAUGGGCUCAACCCAUGAACUGCUUUCAAAACUGUUUUUCUUGAGUAGUGCAGAGGUAGGCGGAAUUCCCGGUGUAGCGGUGGAAUGCGUAGAUAUCGGGAGGAACACCAGUGGCGAAGGCGGCCUACUGGGCACCAACUGACGCUGAGGCUCGAAAGUGUGGGUAGCAAACAGAAUGAGAUACCCUGGUAGUCCACACCGUAAACGAUGAUUACUAGGUGUUGGAGGAUUGACCCGUUUCAGUCGCGCAGUUCUCACAAUAGGUAUUCCACGGGGGGAGUUGGGCCGCAAGGUUGAAACUCAAAGGAUUCGACGGGGGGCCCGCACAAGCAGUGGAGUAUGUGGGUGAAUUCGACGCAACGCGAAGAACCUUAGCAAGUCUUGACAUCCUGCGACGGUUCUGGAAACAGAACUUUCCUUCGGGACGCAGAGACAGGUGGUGCAUGGUUGUCGUCAGCUCGUGUCGUGAGACGUUGGGUUAAGUCCCGCAACGAGCGCAACCCUUAUGGUCAGUUACUACGCAAGAGGACUCCGGCCAGACUGCCGUUGACAAAACGGAGGAAGGUGGGGAUGACGUCAAAUCAUCAUGCCCUUUAUGACUUGGGCUACACACGUACUACAAUGGCGUUAAACAAAGAGAAGCAAGACCGCGAGGUGGAGCAAAACUCAGAAACAACGUCCCAGUUCGGACUGCAGGCUGCAACUCGCCUGCACGAAGUCGGAAUUGCUAGUAAUCGCAGAUCAGCAUGCUGCGGUGAAUACGUUCCCGGGCCUUGCACACACCGCCCGUCA